rnacentral:rRNA from 1 species
GGGAUUGCCCUAGUAACGGCGAGUGAAGCGGCAACAGCUCAAAUUUGAAAUCUGGCUCUUUUAGGGUCCGAGUUGUAAUUUGCAGAGGGCGCUUUGGCGUUAGCAGCGGUCCAAGUUCCUUGGAACAGGUCGUCACAGAGGGUGAGAAUCCCGUACGUGGUCGCUAGUUUUCGCCGUGUAAAGCCCCUUCGACGAGUCGAGUUGUUUGGGAAUGCAGCUCUAAAUGGGAGGUAAAUUUCUUCUAAAGCUAAAUACUGGCCAGAGACCGAUAGCGCACAAGUAGAGUGAUCGAAAGAUGAAAAGCACUUUGGAAAGAGAGUCAAAUAGCACGUGAAAUUGUUGAAAGGGAAGCGCUUGCAGCCAGACUUGUGAAUUGCAGUUCUACCUGGGUUUUCCCAGGCUUAUUCUGUUUUUCCAGGCCAGCAUCAGUUUGGGUGGUUAGUUAAAGGCUUAGGGAAUGUAUCUACUCUUCGGGGUCGACUUAUAGCCCUAGGUGCCAUGUAACCUACCUGGACUGAGGAACGCGCAUCUGCUCGGAUGCUGGCGUAAUGGUUGUCAGCGA